rnacentral:rRNA from 1 species
UACAGAGGUCUCAACCGUUGUUCGGAAUCAUUGGGCGUAAAGGGCGCGUAGGCGGCUUUGUAAGUCCGUUGUGAAAUCCCUCGGCUCAACCGAGGAACUGCGACGGAUACUGCUUGGCUUGAGUCCCGGAGAGGGUAGCGGAAUUCCCAGUGUAGCGGUGAAAUGCGUAGAUAUUGGGAGGAACAUCGGUGGCGAAGGCGGCUACCUGGACAAUUGCUGACGCUCAGGCACGAAAGCGUGGGGAGCAAACAGGAUUAGA